UAAUACGUAGGGUGCAAGCGUUAAUCGGAAUUACUGGGCGUAAAGCGUGCGCAGGCGGUUUUGUAAGCCAGAUGUGAAAUCCCCGAGCUUAACUUGGGAACUGCGUUUGGAACUGCAAGACUAGAGUGUGUCAGAGGGGGGUAGAAUUCCACGUGUAGCAGUGAAAUGCGUAGAGAUGUGGAGGAAUACCGAUGGCGAAGGCAGCCCCCUGGGAUAACACUGACGCUCAUGCACGAAAGCGUGGGGAGCAAACAGGAUUAGAUACCCUGGUAGUCCACGCCCUAAACGAUGUCUACUAGUUGUCGGGAGAGGAAUCUCUUGGUAACGCAGCUAACGCGUGAAGUAGACCGCCUGGGGAGUACGGUCGCAAGAUUAAAACUCAAAUGAAUUGACGG
rnacentral:rRNA from 1 species